CAUUGCUCUCAGCGUUACGGAAACAUUCGCAGCGUUGCGCCUGAAGUGUCCAGAAGGAUGGAUCACAGCGGAGUGUGUCGAUGCAUCUGCCUGGAACCGAUGCUGCGUUUGCCGCAGUCGCAACUUUUGUCGCUUGUGGACGCGCGAUGUGGUUCGAGAUGUUGAUGCACAAGAAUCACAAAACAUCUGGACAAGCAGCGUGACGGGCGGAUGUUCUGGAACCGACCAUCAACGACACUACGGACUCUUACAAUCGUGCAGUUGCCUUGCACCAUUGAGCAUCGAAGAUCCUUCUGCUCGGUCGCUUUCCGUUUCCGCUCCGAAUGAACAUGAAUGUGUAUGCAUGGGAGGAGAUGUAUAUUUGGAUAAGGAACGGUCUCCGUCCAGCGCCUUGGUCUCGGGUGGAAGCGAUCACCGGAGCAGUAUGGACAUGAACCUCAAGCACGGGCCAGGAACGUCAUGCGGAAUGCAGCUCUCUGAAACACCAAUGAUACCGAGAGGGAGUAGCACCGGGUGCGGUGACGGUGUAUUCGGCUCAAUCCGUGGACGGAUGAAGAGCCAGAGCACCAACAGCAAAGACGUGUCGGUCACCAGACUGCGUCCUGUGUCGCGAACAACCGGAAAGAGAGGCGUUACACGGCUUAAGAGUUAUUUGGGGAUAAACAGCGCUGGGACUACGUGUCGGAAGAGAGACAGAAAAGAUGUGGAGGACCGAGAGAGAAACGGUGCCUCAUGGAAACGUGAAUCGUGCCUUUUACGAUGUGCAAGCAACGCGACAUCGACCCAGGGGACCUAUAGCAGAGAGCCGACACAGCGAUGGUACUUCCGCGUUUGUCGCCGACGGUGCCAACCAGCUCUUCUGUGUAUGGACAAAAGUAGCCGCGAGCAGACAUCUGGGGCUGACAGGUCGAACAUCAGUCAAUUUGCCACGUGGGGUGCUGCAUGCUGUGCCCAGGAUAGUGAGCUACAGGGUACGGGGAAACGGAGGCUUUACCGCCAUAACGAGAGACGACAUAUGUGUACGACAGGGGAUCGGGUUUGCAGUGAGCGUGAAGCUUGUACAGGUCGUGGGCAGGACGCCUGUCUUCAUGGAGCCUGCCGCCUUGUUAGUGAGGAUGUUGUGCAAAUUUGGGCAAGAACGGAAGAAGGUUGGAAUCGCACGGACGACGAGGCGUACCCGGCUUCGAAAGGACAGGUAGCAUUGUGGAGAAAUGACGGUGAUGCAUAUGGUUGCGAAACACGAGGGCAUUCGGCCAGCCUUGUGACCCCUGGAGCGUUGUCUCUGUAUGCGGUCAGGUCACUCUUACGUGCAGGCAGCGGGAGACACCGAACGCAGUGCAGUAACGAUCGGCUUAAUGACAUGCAAAAUGCGAACGCAAUUCAAGAGAGGAAACUGGAAAUCAGCUGUCGUGUUCACGAGGCUUCACGGCGCAGCUCGAAGUUUGAUGCGCUAGGCAGGAAUUCGAAAAAGUCACAUGUAGAAGAGAGACAUAAACAUCCCGUUUUUGGAAGGAGGGCGCCUAGAGGACACUGCAGUGAAAGCAGUGUGAUGCGGGGGCCACGCAUGACGGAAACAUCCCCUUCACGGAGAACAGACAAGGGAACCGAUAGUUACUAUCAAGUGCAUCCGUCAGAAGAUGUAGACUCCAGUAGUGGUGGCCAAGAGGAGCGGCUGAGAGAGCAACGAACGCCAGAGACGGGGUUCGAUACAGAUGACCGAGCAGCAGAUCGGCCGUCCUGCCUUGCAGCCGUGGAUAUGCUGUCGCAAGAUUCCAGAACGGAC
rnacentral:lncRNA from 1 species